UCCGGUUUGUCACCGGCAGUCCCAUUAGAGUGCCCAACUGAAUGUGGCAACUAAUGGCAAGGGUUGCGCUCGUUGCGGGACUUAACCCAACAUCUCACGACACGAGCUGACGACAGCCAUGCAGCACCUGUGUCCAGGUUCCCUUUCGGGCACCCCUCCAUCUCUGGAGGGUUCCUGGCAUGUCAAGGGUAGGUGGGGAUGACGUGGGAGGAAUUCCA
rnacentral:misc_RNA from 1 species